rnacentral:lncRNA from 1 species
UAGAGGUUGAGAGAGCUGAGAGUGGGAGUUAGGGGUGAGAGAUAGAGAGAACCGAGAGAGAGCUCUCGACUGAGGAGAAAAAGAGGGAAAAACAGGGGAAUCUUUGGGAGCCGAAGGAAAAAAAAACAGAGGUAGAGAGGAUAGAAGAGUGGCGGCUAAGGGGAUUAGCUACGGGAAAGCUGAAGAAGGGGCAAGAAAAUGGCUGAGGGAAUCUGGGGAAAGAACCAGGAGAGCUAGGCAAAGGGGGAAAGGGUUUUGGCUCAUCAAAGCAAGAAGAGAGGAUCUGAGAGAGCUUAUUAGGACAAGAGGAAAAGAAGGCUGGCGGGUGGGGUUAGAAGAAGAGAGUGAGAGAAAGAAAGCUAGGGAGAGGCGUCGAAGGAAGAAAAAGGCUGUGCUGGCUGACGGGAAACUAAGAAAAAAAGAGAAAGGAGACGGGCAGAGAAAAAGGAACCAAGCGAGAGAGGGAGAGUGAGAGGAGUCUCGGGCUGGCAGGGAAGAAACAAGAACUGGAAAAGGAGAAGAAACUGAAAGGAAAGAAAAAGCUUGAAGAGGUCCAGGGGCUGGAAAAACAAAGAAGAAAGAAAGGGUUUCGGAGAGUGAGAGAUAGUAGGAGGAAACCGAGAACUGGGGGUUUCGUCCGAGAGCUUGGGGAGGCUGCGCAAAAGAGAGAUCGAGGGAACUGGAAAAGCUUGGGGAGGCUGCGGAAAAGGAGAUUGAGAGGGAGAAACUUCAGGGAAGCGAGGGACACCGGAGAGGGAAAAAGCUGAGGAAAAAGAAAGAGAACCGAGGAGAUUGGGAGAGGGGUGGCGGCUGAGCAAGGAGGAGCUUCAAGUUACGGGCCAGAGGUUUUCUCACCAUCUUCAUGAUUCUCCUAGGAUUAUCGCACGUCCCAAAACAUUUACUGGAAUAGAAGGUAAUCCAUCUUUGUCUUUGGUUCUGGGUAGAACUUUCAUGUUAGCUUCAAGAUCUGGUGAAGUUUGUGUGAGGAGCUGCGGUUUUCUAGUUCGUUUAUUCAUGGUUGCGAUUUGUUGUUGCUGAUUUCUGAUGAAUAUGAUGUUAUGCCCUUGUUCUUGGAUCCUUUAUCAUGGUUUGGUCUAUCAGGACACCUAGAAAGAGACCUGCACAUGAGGAUUUUUUGCUGCAACAAGCGCUAACUUUUUGGCUUGUUGCAGCAGUGUCGCCAAAUGCGUUGCUCGAUUGCAUAAGGCUUUGGUUUGUUUGAUCUUCUGUUUUGCUGGCUGUUUGAGUAUGUAUAACUUGCAGCAUGUGUGGAAAACUAGCGUGGGAAACUCGACAGGGUUUAGCCCUCAUAGUUAUGCAUAGCGGCUGCCCUUUAUUGUUUCCAUAUUUCUUCUCCCAGUUUUUCAUUUGCUCAAGUAGCAGCUUUCUUGUCUCUCUGGGAAGCUUUAUAGAUAUUGCUCAAGAAUUUUUGUUUUGGAGUCUCUGGUUUGGUUUAUAAUGGAGCAAGACUUUAAUUGCUGUUUUCCUUUUCAUGAUGCAAAGCAUGUGCGAGUGUUAGUUAAUUAAGUGAGCUUCUGUAGAUAAACCCAGAAUGGGCAAAAAUCUUUGCAUGAGCUAAAAAUUUGCAAACUUUCCUUAUGCUGGUUUUUGUUCUCUUGUAUGUAAUGAGGUAAGGGUAUGAGCUUAAUAAGAACUUGGGUUUGGUUCUGGUUUGAGUUUGGUGUUAAAUUGUUGCCGUGCAUGUAAUUGCUGAAAUCUCAAAGUGCGGUAGAAAGUUUGCAGAAAUUUUCAGAUUUCGCAUGCCUUUUUUCCUAUGAAAGUUUCAGUUUUUAGGGUCACAAAGUGGAGAGAAUGCUUGGUGAAUUUGUUACUUUGGCCCAAGUUGUUGUUGGUUGAGUCGUUAGCAAUGUUUAGAUGGAAAAGAUUGCAUUCAAAAACCCAGAAAUUGCAGCUCAAGAAACCAGCGAAAGAAAAGGAAGUUCCUGCUAAGAAGAUGCGUGAACUGUCAAACCUUUUUGCCGCUGGUUUGCUGAGCUUGUUCCACAGCUUUAUCAUGUUUGUUCUUUGAUGAUUCUCUUGCCAUUGUUUCCUUUUUUUUUUCCUGUCUUGUGUAUCUUGGGCGUUAGUUUUUGAAAUAAAAAGCAUCAGCUGCAUAAUUUGGCUUGGAUUUCAUUUCCUUUCGGUUUGUACUUGGGUAGAACCAAUCUAGGAGAGUUGUAGAAGAAUUGUUGCGAAAGAUUUGCCUGCUUGAAUGUCGAAUUUCUGUGGUUUUGAUGUUUGGUUGAGAAGCUGGCCGUGUUUGGAUGAAAAAUUACAUCUGAUGAACACCACAAGUGUAGCUAAUCGUAGCUGGAAAAUUGCAGAAUUUUGUUAUUUGAUGCUUGCAUGAUCUUUUGUAUGAAUUUCUGGUACUUAAACAUGAGGAUUUUAGGUUGAAAAGUGAGAGGGAUAUGCGGCAAAUCUUGUUGUUUUGAUUCAAGCUGGGUUUGAUUGAAGUGGUAGUCGUGUGUUUGAGAGUGUAAUCUGAUAGCUGCAGUGGUGAACUAGGAAUUGCAGAAGGAAGCUUCGUAGCAUGCAUGGAAGUAUUUUCAAAAUUUUCACUUUAACACCUUAGCUUCUAUCUAAUGCUACUAUGGCCCAACUAAUUGGAUAACUUAAUCAAUUUUGUCCCUUAACAUGCCAUUUUUCUUUAACACGUCUUAACGUAAUUUUUAGAUAGAUUUUAAUGAGUUUUAGGAUGAAUUUGAAAGUUUAAUGACUUUUUCUAAACUUAUAGUUUUGAUUUGAAUUUUAGUGGAAUUUUGGGAAAUUUUGUCGUUUAAUUAUGAAAAAUGAGCUAUUAUUCGUUUUUUGUGAAUUUUAGUUUUGUUUUGGUAGGUUUCAUCUUAAGCCAUUAAUUUUAAUUUAUUUCAAUUUAGACCCUUAAUAUUUAUAAUAAUAAUAAAGUGAUCCCUCGAACUUCUUUAAUUCUUUCAAAUGGGUCCUUAUUUGUUUAAUUGGUCGAAUAUGAGUUGUCUAUUUUAUUUGAAUGCUUUAAUUAGUUUAAUUUUGUGUUUAUUUCCAUUUUUUGUGAUUAUUUGUUAAUUAAAGUGAUGCCUUGACCUUUUCUUUAUUUUUUGGAGGGUAAAUAAAAAAAUUUCAUUUCAUUAGGGCACCAAAUCAAGGAAGGUACACUCUACCCCUUUAUUUGAUUUUACUUGACCCUAUGUGCUCCUAUGUGAAUUUAUUUGUAAAAUUGCAUGCUUUUUUGAAUAUUUUUAUUUUAUUUAUUUAUUUAGUCACUUUAUUUGUUUUGAUUUAGUUUAUUUAUUUUAAUUUAGUUUUGAUUAUUUGAAAGGCAUUUAAAAGCCAAAAUUGUAAUAGUUAGGUAUUUCUUUUAUUUAUUUAUUUUAUUUCCUUUCUUAGAUUGUAGUUAGGGCCACCCCAAAUGUAAUAGUUAGGGCUUUAUUCGCUUUAUUCGCUUUAUUCGCUUUAUGUGUUUUGCAUGCUUAUGUGCUACGUGUUACUCGCUUUGUUAGGGCCUUGUAUCUAGAUAUCAUGAUUAUGUGUUAUGUGUUUAUGUGAUAUUAUGUGUUUACAUGCUUUUAUUAUGUUUUGCAUGAUUAGUUAGUUAUAAUUAAUGUGUGACGUCUCCACACUAGUCCAACGUUAGUUGUGGCUUCUUUUUCCGAUUUUUUACUAGUCCAACGCUAGUGAGAACUCGUAGACAUGAGCUAGUCCAACGCUAGACCCUUAGGAACCAUUCACAUGCUAGAUCAUGUUUGUGUGACUACACUACAUUUUCAUGCAUAUUUUUCACUUUCUAGGAUUUUUUUAUCAUUUUUUCAUGACAUCCCCCCUUAUACGUAUAUCCCGUACCCCAUGUUCCCCCUUAUAUAUAUAUCCUUUAUCGCAUAUUUCCCCUUAUAUUUUUAUUCCCUAUCCCUAUGUGUGAGACAUGACAUUAGACUUGCAUUUCAUAUAAGAAAAUCAGAACUAGGUUAGUACAUUUGCUUGAUUAGAUUAGGAAAUGCCCCUCAAGUAUGGGAUAUGGACGAGUUUGGCUUCCUAGCCUUAGCACGCUCGUAUUCCCUCUACAAAAGGGAAAAUUGAAGUCAUGAAUCAUAGCCCCGCACCCGUUAUGAUGCAUUCCUUUAGGUCAUGUAUAUUUGUAUAUUAUUAUUUUCUUUUUCUUUUUUUCGAGUCGCAUAUUUUUGCAUAUUCGUGACCUUUUCAAAUAAUUACUUUUGGGCAUCGUAAUUAAUACGAUUUGCACCAAAUAAAAUUCGAAGAAACAUGUUGACUUCGAUACAUUAGGUCUAGGGUUUGCACUCAUAUAGUACAUCCAAAUGUGAUAAAUUCUUAGGCUAAAAUAAGAAAAUCGUUGACUAAAUCACGCAAUUAGCUUUGACCAGGUUGAAAGGGUGCCUUGGAUUUUAUUUUUACAUUCCUUUUCUUCAAAUGUGUCUCCCGAACACUUUUCUCUGAUUUUUGCAAACUUGAAGUCGUUUAAAAAGGGUUUUUCUAAUUUUUUAUUCAAAAUCCAUUUUAGGUAACUUGGUACACCUUAACUCGAUACCAAGUGGCGGCUCCGAUUUUUUUUAUUCAAAAACCCUUUUUAAACUAUAAUUUGGGAUAAAAUCGUUGCACCUAUUAAACCCCAUUUAGGCCCCAUUUUGUUUAUUCAUUUACUAAAAAUAAAAAACACAUCAUUUUCAAUAAAAAAAUUAAACCAAAAUCCAUUUUUCUAAACUCUUUAUUUUUCAUUUUUAAAAGUGGGGCGCGACAUAAGUGAUGAGCGGCAGCAUGUAUCACACUCAAUCCGAAUGAAAGCUGCCUCUCAUAUCGUGUCAGUACCUCUAUUUUGAUUAAGUCGAUUGGAGUGUUAUUUGAUCGAUCCUAGUGCUGAGCGAUAACAUGUACCACACUCAAUCCGAGUGGGAGGUGCUUCUCAUACCGUCUCAGUACCUCUAUCUUGAUUAAGUCGAUUGGAGUGUUAUCUCAUCGAUUAUACUUGUUCUUGUUUGGGUAUACUCGAGUAUUACCACCACUAUUUCAAUUUGGUGUUCGGGCGAGGUAGGGAGUGAAAUGGUGGAUGGGGAUUCGUGUCAAAUGAAUUUUAUGGACUUGUUACUUGCGUGGUUGGUGGAGUGUCAACAAAAGAAAAUGAUAUCCAAGAUUGUGAAAUGGCAAGCUUGUGGAUUAGCUCAUGAGAGCUCCUGUAUCCUCUUAAUGAACAUGUUUUAGUCCUUUUGUGGCUUUACGUGAAACUAUUAUUGUUAUUCUGUACAUGUGCUACUUGAGUUGAAUUAUGGUGUUUGUUUUACUUUCUUGCUUACUUUUUUGGCCUCACUGAGCCUCCGCUCAUCCCUUUAAGUUUGUCAUUCCUUGACAGGAAUUUGAAGUGAAGAAUUGGAGGCGCUAGACUAGCCAGAUUUUGUUUAGAGUUAGUGUAAUUCCCUAAGUGACUUUUAGACAUUUGGAAGUGUAGAUUUCAUUUGUAUUUGAGAUAUUAUAGUUGUAAUAGUUAACACUAUUGCCUAAGGAUUGUAGUUGUUGUUAUUCAAGUACUUUCUUAGUUUUAAAAAAUUGUUUGGCUUGAAAAUCUUGAUUGAGUUCGAGCAAGUGAGUGAGUCGGCUAACCCUUAGGGUACGCCAUUGGGGAAGGUGGGGCUGUCA